GACAAGAUGCAUGUGUUGAAGGUGCCAGUAGGGAGAAGACCCCAAGAAAGAAUAUCCAACCACUUCGUUGACUGAAGAGGGUGGAAAGACUCUUCUUAAGCAAUUGGAAGCUCAUCUGGACUCGCUGCCAGCAGAGGUCUUUACAGAUGAUGGACAACUUUGUAUCUACAUUCAUAGGCUGAUGAAGAAGCUAUACUGGAAAUACAGAUUCGGGACUUAGGUUCCAGAAUCAGGGGAGAGAAUACCAGGUCAUGAGAGGCUGGUCAGCACCUCUGCACCAUUGAGAAGGCCAUGUUGGAGAUACUGAAGCCUCAGCUAGACGAGUUCCAGGUGAACCUGA